rnacentral:lncRNA from 1 species
AGAAUGUUCUGGACAUAUUUAAAAAUGGCUACUUUCUCCCUCCCUGUGUCAGAAGCAUGAAGAGAUUUUCUUCCUACACUCACGAUGAGAACCUGGUGGAGCUCCUAAAGGUAAAACUUAUGAAGAUUGGCUCUCCUGAUGGUUGCACGAUGGCUGCAGCAGUUCCAGAUGUCCCAUCGAGACACAAAAAGAUCCCAGAUGGAAGAUGCCAUCUCCUCCUAUGUGCCUCUUUUUAAGAGUUACACAGGAGUGAGGAGGACCACCAAACCAAACUAAGACUCGGAGGAAAAAAAAAAAAGAAAAAGAAGAAAAUGUCUGCUAGGUGCCAUGCCACUCAAACAGCCAAUGGAAAGGCCCACGUGGCGAGAGCUAAGGCUUCCUGCCAACAGGCAAGUGAGGAAGCCCAGUCAGCUGCCUGCAGUCCUGACCCAUGAAGAGCCUGACUGAAAGUGAAUGAGCAACCCUGAGCUAGGACAACCCAGCAAGGCCCAUCCUGAAUUCCUGCCCACAAAAACUCUGAGACAGUAAAUGUUCGUUGUUUUAAACCACAAAGUUUUGAAGUAAUAGAUUAAUUAGGUAACCAAUUGGGACUGCAGUAUUCCUUCAGGGAACUUGAAUAGUCAUUCUGUAUAUGGAAAUUGUACACAUCUUAAAAUUGCUGGACUAAAGUGAGAAGAGACUGUCUUGAGUCAACUGGAUAAAGUGGAAAAAAAAUUAAUUUGGAAAUCAAUAGAAUUCUGGCCUUGGCUUUGUCACUAAGAAACACUUAUAAGUAAUUUCACUUCUCUUGAAAUUAUGAUCAUUAUCUAUAACAUAAAGGAACUGAGCUAAAUGUUAUCUGAUGCCUCUUUAGGCUCUCAAACUCCAUAGAUUUAUGACAUGCUUGAAAUUCACUUUGUUUCACCCUAAUUCAGAGCUUUGUUUCACUAGCUCUAGAAUUAGAUGCCUUGGGUUUAAAUUGCAAUUCAGUCACUUAUUUAAAUAAUUGUACUUGGAUGAGUGAUGUUGCCAUUUUAAGCCUCAGUUUCCCCAUAGAUUCAUUGAGAAGAUCAAAUAAGAUGAUGCAGAUAAAGCUCUUAGUUUGUGGGGACACUUAGUAAGUGCUUAAUAAAUACAGGCAGUUGUGUUAUCUAUGUUGUAGCAGCACAUUUUGUAAAAUAAAACAAAGUUGAAAUCA